GACGAACGCUGGCGGCGUGCCUAAUACAUGCAAGUCGAACGCAGUGGGGACGGGUGAGUAACACGUGGGUAACCUCCCAUCAGAGGGGAUAACACUUGGAAACAGGUGCUAAACCGAUACUGAUGGAUGGACCCGCGGUGCAUUAGCUAGUUGGUGAGGUAACGGCUCACCAAGGCCACGAUGCAUAGCCGACCUGAGGGGGGGAUCGGCCAAACUGGGACGGAGACACGGCCCGAACUCCUACGGUAGGAGGCAGUGGGAAAUCUUCGACAAUGUACGAAAGGCUGACCGGGCAACGCCGCUUGAGUGAAAAAGGUUUUCGGAUCGUAAAACUCUGUGGUUAGAGAAGCGGUAUCUAACCAGAAAGCCACGGCUAACUACUUGCCAGCAGCGGCGUAAUAC
rnacentral:rRNA from 1 species